CCUUUGAGCCAGCAUUGUCUCUGCACCCUUUUUUCUUCCCUAGACUCCAAGAAUGGAGAAGGCAAUAGCACCCCACUCCAGUACUUUUGCCUGGAGAAUCCCAUGGACAGAGGAGCCUCGUGGGCUGUAGUCCAUGGGGUUGCACAGAGUUGGACAGGACUAAAGCGACUUAGCAGCAGCAGUGAUCGACUUCACUUUCACUUUUUACUUUCAUGCAUUGGAAAAGGAAAUGGCAACCCACUCCAGUGUUCUUGCCUGGAGAAUCCCAGGGACGGGGGAGCCUGGUGGGCUACCAUCUAUGGGGUCGCACAGAGUUGGACAACAACUGAUCGACUGAACUGAACUGAAAGUGACUUUGGGAAAUAGAUGGAGAAACAGUGGAAACAGUGUCAGACUUUAUUUUUCUGGGCUCCAAAAUCACUACAGAUGGUGACUGCAGCCAUGAAAUUAAAAGGCGCUUACUCCCUGGAAGGAAAGUUAUGACCAACCUAGAUAGCAUAUUCAAAAGCAGAGACAUUACUUUGCCAACAAAGGUUCGUCUAGUCAAGGCUAUGGUUUUUCCUGUGGUCAUGUAUGGAUGUGAGAGUUGGACUGUGAAGAAGGCUGAGCGCUGAAGAAUUGAUGCUUUUGAACUGUGGUGUUGGAGAAGACUCUUGAGAGUCCCUUGGACUGCAAGGAGAUCCAACCAGUCAAUUCUGAAGGAGAUCAGCCCCAGGAUUUCUUUGGAAGGAAUGAUGCUAAAGCUGAAACUCCAGUACUCUGGCCACCUCAUGCAAACAGUUGACUCGUUGGAAAAGACUCUGAUGCUGGGAGGGAUUGGGGGCAGGAGGAGAAGGGGUCGACAGAGGAUGAGAUGGCUGGAUGGCAUCACUGACUCGAUGGACGUGAGUCUGAGUGAACUCCGGGAGUUGGUGAUGGACAGGGAGGCCUGGAGUGCUGCGAUUCAUGGGGUCGCAAAGAGUUGGACACGACUGAGCGACUGAUCUGAUCUGAAAGUGACUUAGCAGCAGCAGCAGACUCCAAGAAGGGUGCUAUCCAGCAGGGGGCGCUGCGGUCACAGGGUCAGCGCUUUCAGAGGGCUGGGGCUCGUGAGUAGAACUCAGAUGCCCUGGGAACACAGGUGGACUUGGGGGUGGACUCUGGUCCUGCUAGAGAGCAGAGGGAUGAUGAAUUUAUAGAACACCGCAUCCGGCAGUGGGGCACCCUUAUUCAGCUUUCCUGGCCUGUUGUACCCACACACCCAGUGUCCAAAGGGCAGGGCCAAACAGUGCUGGUAUGUUGUUUAAGGUUCUGGCUGUGAUCACCAGUGACCUGGGUAUUCCUGGGACAAUGUGUGAAUUUUAAUCACCUGUCCUACACUUUAGCUCAAUGCCCUCAGCUCCCCAGACUCACAACCUGAGAUCAAAGCAGUAGCCCCUUAGGCAAAGUGGGGAAUCUCCCUACUUUUCUCUCAGAAUGGGGAACCUUGGGAAGGCCUGGGAGGGGUUCUACUCCAACCCAUCUCACAUCCGGGCCAUCCACGGAUACUGCGGUCAACUAAGCUGGCUUCUCUCCAUCCCUUGUGGCCAGAGCCCCAAUCCACGUGGAACGACCCGAGCUGCCUCCUAUCCAUUGCCCUGCCUCGGUUUGCAGCAGGGUCCCAGACAAGGGCAAUGCAAGUAGGGUCCUGCGGUAUGACAUUCAAGGGGAGGCACUCACUCUCAUGGUCAUGUAAGAACAGGGUUGCGUGAGCGUCUCCUCCACAGACAGAUUUCUGAAGCACAGAUCAGACUCUCAGUUUCACCCUGCACAGCCAGGAUCAAGUCCAUACUUCUGAGGAGCACUCAAGCCUCUUCGUGGUAUGGGUCCUGUGGGCUGGUCCAGCCUUAGUUCCUGGAGCAGCCAUACAAGGCCACAAGGCCACACCACAAGCAGGAUCUGUCCUGCACUUGGGAGCCUCCAGGCUUUUGCUUGGGCUAUGCCUACAAUCUAAACAUGCUCUCCCAUGGCUAACUCAUCACCCUUCAAGGCCCUUGAAUACCAGUUCCUCAGAGUGGCUGUGAACUCUGGCUGAGAUAAAUCGCUUCUGUCUCCACAUCCCAGCAUCUCUGCUCCUUCGCCUCAUACUCCAGAGAGUUCAUAUCCAGGGUAGCGGUGGGGACCGUGCUGACUCACUUCCAAGUGCCUCUGUAUGGCUGGUACGGGCAUGGGCCUGAGAAACAUUGCGUGCCCAUCAGAUGCCCCUCUGUCUUCAGGCUUCUAGAGUCACCACUCAACUAGCAACAAAGAAUACACGUGUGCUCCAGCCCAUGAGGCUGUGGGAUGUCUUCUCCAACAUUCUUGAGAAUUCUUGAGGAAAGGACACUAACUUUUGUUUCCUGGCAGUGGUGAGUCACCAGGGGCCUCCUGGCUAAGAGCUCCUUCUCUCAGCAAACCCUGGUCUAUUUUACCCCCAAUGUGGACCGAGUCCUCUGAAAUACUCUCAGAGCAGCAAUCUAGGAGUUAGCUAUCACAGUGGCUAUCUGACCUGGUGACAUGAUCAUUGUAGUCUCUCACUUGCCAAGCUGGAGGGCAGUCAGUCAUGCUUUCUCCGGACUAUCCAGGCAGGUGGGUCUCUGCUGACCCUUCAUCCCUCCUGCCAGUCAGUCAGUCAAGAGAGACUUUCUUGAUACUCACUUAUGCAGAGAAAGGACUGGAACCUCUCAUACUUAGCUGAGGUUCUAUCUAAAUUGAGGCCUUUGUGGACCUACCUUCUAGGAGAGGAAGAAAAACCCUACCUGAUGUUAACAUCCCCUUCCCCUCGUUAUGUGGCUGGCUGGCCGAUGUCACCGGAUACCCAGUCUCUCUGCAUGAUUGGGAGAGGACACACGUGUGAAGACAACUGGAGAGGGAGCAAAGAUCCUCUUGGAAUGACAGAACCGCACAGAAAUGACCACAGUGAUGCUCAGGAAAGCCAUGUCCCUCCCUUCUUCCUUCCCACUGGGGGCACACUGCUAAGACAAUCCGAAUCCAUCAUCCAUCCAUCUAUCCCCAUCCAUGCCACACCUCGCUCAUAGCGUAUCUGCUGUGCUCAGGCAAGGCUGGAUCCUGGGGUUACAGCAGUGAACAGGACAGAGCACCUGCUGGGCCAACCCCCUUUUCUCCUGUCUCUUGCCCUGUUUUCCUUCUGUGAACAUUCCUAUAACUCAGCAGUUGCUGAAUCCAAGCUACAAAGACAUAUUCUUGUUGAUAUUUUCUAGCUUAAGCUACAUCUACUGUUUUCAAAAUGAGACAGCAAAUGAAGUCGGACGUAGACACUCGAAGACCUGGUCCUUCACCAAGUCCACUUUAUGGGAGAGGAUCAGGGAUUGGGGUUGAGUUCUCUGCCUCAAAGAGACUGUUUGGACUAGGCAGAGGACCAGCAACAGUGGGUCCAGACUUGGGCCACGAGAGAAGGAGG
ensembl:lncRNA